GACGAACGCUGGCGGCGUGCUUAACACAUGCAAGUCGAACGGAAAGGCCCUGCUUUUGUGGGGUGCUCGAGUGGCGAACGGGUGAGUAACACGUGAGUAACCUGCCCUUGACUUUGGGAUAACUUCAGGAAACUGGGGCUAAUACCGGAUAGGAUCUCCUGCUGCAUGGUGGGGGUUGGAAAGUUUCGGCGGUUGGGGCUGGACUCGCGGCUUAUCCGCUGGUUGGUGGGGUAGUUGCUUACCAAGGCUUUGACGGGUAGCCGGCCUGAGAGGGUUACCGGCCACAUUGGGACUGAGAUACGGACCAGACUCCUACGGGAGGCAGCAGUGGGGAAUAUUGCACAAUGGGCGGAAGCCUGAUGCAGCAACGCCGCGUGCGGGAUGACGGCCUUCGGGUUGUAAACCGCUUUCGCCUGUGACGAAGCGUGAGUGACGGUAAUGGGUAAAGAAGCACCGGCUAACUACGUG
rnacentral:rRNA from 1 species